CUUGUAUGAUGAACAAGCUCAAGAAUUCUGCAAUUCGGACGGUUUCCAACUAUUGUGAAGCUGCAAGUCGACACCUUGAACCUACACUUGAUCUGACA
rnacentral:snoRNA from 1 species